rnacentral:lncRNA from 1 species
CGAUGUCACAAGUGCAUGAGCAUCUACUAAAAAGUACAAUAACAAUACAAUAUCUGUCUGGAAUACAAGAUAGACAGAAUAAAGUAAAUAAUUAUGAUAGAGACUAUGUGUAGCGAAUCUUAGCAUGGAAUGCAUCUUACCAUAAAGUCGCCUCAGUAGCUGCACCUACGCACCCAAAUGACCACCAAAUAAACCUGUCAAAUCCUGCACAUUUAGUGCAGAAGUGCAGUAUGAGUACGUAAAUCAACACGUACCCAGUAUGUAUCUAGUCUAACCCUAAAGAGGUAGUGAUAAGGAGAUGACAUUGAUACUUACUAGUGGUCCAGUAGAUCAAAUGUAAUAAAGUAUAAAAGUAUGAAACAUGGUAAAUAAAUAAUGAGAAUAGAUAUAGGAAAAUAGUACGGUCUACAGUUGAACAAUGAACACAAAGUCCUCAACUAUCAGAUACCUCCUCAAAUGGAAUACGUAAUGGUCAAUACUAAACCAACAGUCACAUUUCAAGUCAGGAAACUCAUGAGUAUGCGAAAUCCUGAUUAAGUAUUCCGCACGAUUUUACCGAGGCAAGCAGCCCGAUCCCAUAAAAGUAUUUUAUAGAACUGCCGACACAAAUGACACGAUCCCAUAAGAGUGUUUCAUAGAACUGCCGAGGAAAAUGGCCCGAUCCCAUUAGAGUGGUUCAUAAAAUUAUCGAGGUGAACGACCAUAUCCCAUAAGAAUAUGUUACUCUGCCAAGGAAAAUAGCCCGAUCCAUAAGAGUGUUUCAUAUUGUUGAGGAAAACAACCCGAUCAACAUAAAAAUAUGUUACUUAGAUAAGGCGAACGACACGAUCCCAUAAGAGUAUGUUAAAUGAUACCGCAAAGGCGAACGACCCGAUCCCAUAAAAGUGUAUCACAUUAUACCACCGAGGAGAACGACCCCAUCCCAUAAGAGUGUAUUACAUGAUAUCGUCGAGGCAAAUGGCCUGAUCGCAUAAGAAUAUAUUACAUGAUACCGCCAACGCGAACAGCCCGAUCCCAUAAGAGUAUUGCUGAUGCAUACAGCUCGAUCCUAUUAGAAUAUAAAACUUUUAAAGGUCACUGACCACACUCACGAAUAUAUGUGUGAGUUAUAAAAUUCAAGAAAAACUAUCGGAUGAAUACACACACGCGGAAGAAAUCCGCAAAGGAAAGUACAAUUUCCACAGCUAAUCAAGUAGCUCCUCAAGUAUCUAAAAUAGCAAGUCUGAUACUCUACGCGAGUAUAGUCUCAUANNNNNNNNNNNNNNNNNNNNNNNNNNNNNNNNNNNNNNNNNNNNNNNNNNNNNNNNNNNNNNNNNNNNNNNNNNNNNNNNNNNNNNNNNNNNNNNNNNNNNNNNNNNNNNNNNNNNNNNNNNNNNNNNNNNNNNNNNNNNNNNNNNNNNNNNNNNNNNNNNNNNNNNNNNNNNNNNNNNNNNNNNNNNNNNNNNNNNNNNNNNNNNNNNNNNNNNNNNNNNNNNNNNNNNNNNNNNNNNNNNNNNNNNNNNNNNNNNNNNNNNNNNNNNNNNNNNNNNNNNNNNNNNNNNNNNNNNNNNNNNNNNAAAAUUGAAUUUCUUGAUUCCAUUCUUCACUGCAAGAAUUUCCUUGAAAGUGGAGUGAUAAUAUUUUUCCGCAUCUUUGAACUUUCCGCUUGCAAAUCUACAUAUUUUUCUCUGGCCAUCUUUUAUUUCAAAUAGAACAACAUUCUAGUAUUCAUUGUUGGCAUCAGCUUGCAGUAUUUUCUUACCUUUUGAAGGGAUGUAGAGGGAUUUGACAUCAUUAUAUAUCUACUUUAUUUCCCAGACUAUUUCAUCUUGUUCCUUUCCCCAUGGCGGAGCAUUUUUCUUGAGCAUCUUUGUGAGCAGAGAAAUGUAUGUAGAGAUAUUUGGAAUAAAUCUCUUACAUAAUUUACUACACCCAAGAAUUGUAGGAUCUUCUUUGUUGUGAGGCUGGUAUCAGGAAAUUUGAGUAGCUCCUGACAUAUAUGUGGUCCUGGACUGUAUACACCUUGGACAAAAUGCAUUCCGAGAAAAUCAAUCUCCUUUUGAGCAAGAACCAUCUUUUUUGCUCAAAGAAUGAUCACGUAAUGUGUUACCAAUGCCUCAAAUUGAUGAAGCAAGAUGAUAUGUUCCUCCAAUAUAUUACUAAAUAACAGGAUGUCAUCAAUGUAAACUAAAGAGGUAUGGAGGAUGGGCUGGAAGAUUUUUAUCAUGGCUUUUUUUUGAAAAAGGAGGGGGCAGUUUUUAAUCUGAAGGGAAUGACUUUCUAUUGGAAGUGAUGAUUGGGGAUGCAAAAUCCUGUUUUGGCUCAUUCUUCGGGAUGGAUUCCCAAUUGCCAAAAUGUAGAUUUAAAAUCAAACUUGGAAAAAUAUUUGGCCUUUGCUAAGUGAGAGAAAAGAGAGUUUAUUUGGGAUAUGGAAUUUAUUAUCUUGGAGGAAAUAGUUAAGUGACUGGUAGUUAAUAACUAACCCGAGUUUUCCUCUUGUUUGUCCAGCUCUUUUGUUGACAUAAAAUGUUAUGCUUGCCCAUUGUGAAUCUGAUGGCUCUAUUAGAUCAAAUUCCAAGAGUUUUUCAUCUUCUUUCUUUGCAAGCUAAAGAUUAUAUGGAUUCAUGCAUGAAUGACUGGCUUUUGUUGGAUUGAUAUUUUUAUUCUUCUUGAAAUGGAGCUUGAUAAAAAACUCUUCAUUCUUUCAUAAUGGGAUUUUCCCUUUUUUCAUAAAAUCCUUGUGGGAUUCAACACAUGAAUGCUCAAUAAGAUUUUGUUCAAUCUCCUUGAUUUGUUCGCCAUUGGUGAUUUGGAAUAGCCUUGGAAUUUCAUAAUAAGAUUUGAAUUGCUUCUUAAAGGUUAACCCGUUAGCCCUUAUCUGGAGUUGAUCAUUUAGUUGUCUGAAAAUGUCGAAUCCAACAAUAAGAUAUUUUCUUGGUACACUGAAUCCUAUCAGCUUGGUUCUGUACUUCAAUAUUGGAAAGAACUCAAUUGUGACCGGGUGCUUUGUAAUGACGGUGGUAGUCCGGAUUCCAUUUGAAGCAGUGUUGAAAUCCUUAAAGUAAGGAACCCAUUGUUCUUCAGGGAGAAUAGCAGGAUUCAUGAGUGAACAAACAACUCAAGUGUCAAUGAAAGCAAUGACUCGAGUUGGUUUAUCCUAUUUGGAUGGAUAAACCUUGAGUUCCACUUGAGGGAUUACUAUGAGAGCGUUAAUCUCUUCCUGGGCUUUAGUUGUUGGUUCUGAAUUUUUGUAGUGGUCAUCAUUAUGAUCUUCGUAUAUGUCAAUAGAGAAUAAGGUUUCUUCAGUGGGUUCAUCAUCCAUAGAGAAUAUGGACUUGAGUUCCUCUUUUUUCCGAGAUGUAUGCCAGUGUAAUAUUCAAUCUCUUCGAGGAGUUUGACCAAUUUCCUUGAUUGGGGACAAUUUCUUGCGAAAUGUCUGAUCUUGUGGCAAAUAAAGCAUCUGUUCUUUUCUGAAAAUUUCCUAGCCUCCUUUGUCUGAAAUAUUUUGUGCGCCUCUUGGACCAUGAUUUCCCAUCUAGAGUUCUUGGCCAUCUGAACCUUCUGAAUCCUCUCCGUCACCUAGAUGUGUGGCAGGAACAUCCUGAUUCGGUAAUCAGAUCAGAUUUGCGGCAUGCUUUGUCAAGUGUUGGAAUGUGUUAGAUAAUUUGUUUUAGGGCAGAUCGCUUCAUACAAAUGUCAUCCAAUGUGACGAAAAUAGCUUGCCUGAUGUAGUCGACUUGUGAGAUUGAUAUUGACUGAAACGUUUCUUCAAUGAUGGUCAUGGUUCGUCUUGCCAACAACUUUGGAAGGGAAGAGACAAAGGCUUGCUUCACGUUGAUGUCUCUGUCGAUCUCGAAGUAUAUCUUCACUAUUUUUUAAAAAUGCUUGUCAAUGUCAUUUCUGUCGAAUGACACACACUUCAUCUCGAAUUUUUGUCUCCUCAUCUUUUCUUAUCUUUGGACAGUAUCUCCACAAAAAACUUAAUGUAGGAUUCUAAUUUUGAAGGAAAAGUCCUAGGAAGGAAGAAAGGUAUUUUUGUUUUGAAUCCCAUGUAAGUUCCACCAAUAUCUGAGGAUUCUUGAGAACCAUGAAGUGAGUUCUGACAGGAUGAUAUACUUUUCUCGUUCCACCAGAUUUUUGGUAACCAUCCAAGUAUAGAAGUCUUGGAUCCUUUGAGACCAUUUUAAAACCUUGAUGUCAUCUAAGGUGAAAGUGUAGAAGCCAGUUCCAAUUGGUUUUGAUGCCAUGGGCUCAUAUCUUCUUUAUGGGAUUGGUUCAUAUGUCAUGCCUUCUUGAUACGCAUCUACUUCAUAAAAAAUUGGGUCUCUUGGCUGUUUAAAAUAUUGGGGGAUUGUCUUCUUCGGAAGAGUUCAUUGUGGAUUCAUUGCCUGAUUGAGAGCUAUCUUCCAUUGUAUCCUCGUCUGAUGAAUUUAGUGAUUCCGACCAUGUGGUAUCUCCUUCUGACAUGUUUUUAGGUUGGGUGACAUAGAGGUUUGGAACCUUAUGAUCAGAAAUCAUCAGGUUUUUGGGGUUGGACCCUUUUGAACUUUCUCCAUGAUCUCGCCUUUUUUGGUUUGUUUUUGGGCCGCAAGAGCAUAUUUCCUUUCCUAAACCAUUUUUGCAAUAUCAAAAUCAUGUUCUUGCUUUAAGGGUUGGGUGAAAGAAAUAGGAUUUUGUGAGGUAGUAGGAAAAGUAGAAAAGGUGUAGUCCAAUUUAAGUAGGGAAUAUGCUUGUGGCGACAUAGGGAAGAAGGUAGGUUUUGAAGGGAAAAUUGGGGUCUUUUGUGACACAAAGUGGUCAUUUCUCAAAAGUUAAAUUUGUUUUCCGAUGGAAAUCGUCUCAUUUUGUUGUUGUUGGAAAAUUAGAAAAGUGAAGUUCCUAGCAGACAAAUCUCAUAUUGUAAAUUUGCCAACCUUAGUUCCAAGGCUUUGAUUAGUCCCGCAUGGUGAGGCGAUGUCUGCUCCACCUUUUCCUCAAUUGUUUCCACUUUGCUCGUCAUUUUGUUUUGUGUAUGGGCCACGUUCUUUAUGUGUUGCCAAUGUUUUUCAGCACUUUGUUUUGACAGUUGGAAUUUGCUCAUUUCCAGCUCAUUUUGGCCUCGAUAUCACUAAUUGGGGGGUUUUUCUCCAGUAGCUAGCACUAUAUUUUUCUUGGGAAUUUUUAGAGCAUGGCUUAUACCCUCUUUUUCAAAAGAUUGAAGUGAAGGAAAAUCUUGGGUAUGACUGAGCUUGAAGGGCUUAACAUGAAUAUUUGUGGUUUUGUGGGCUUUGGGGUUUUUUGAGUUGGUAAAGUUUUAGGUUCAGGUGGAUUUUUGGAUUCUGAGGUAUGAGUUGAUGGUAGUUUGGGUUUGGGUGUUAUUUCACUAUCUUCCCAGCUUUGAGUGAAUUUUUCUGGUAAUUUAGGCCAUUCCUGGGGUUUGUAAUUGACAAGAAAUUCGUAUUUAUCCGAACGACUUAGUAAGCCAAUUGAAGGAUCUUUAUUUUCAUAUUUGGCUUGAAAUUGCUUUUCACUAGUUUUCCCUUUUUUCUUGGAUUUUGGUUUGGUAUUGUUGAGGCCAAAUCUUUCCAAAAGAUACAGGUGGUAUUCAUCAUAUUCUCCAAUUGGAUCUUCCAAACAGUCUUGGCAGUCGCAACCAAUAUCCCAAGGGCAGUGUCCGGUAAAGGGGCAUUUGAACCACCAAAAUCUUCUGCCCUCUUUGUCGAAAUGUUGACACCAGUCAUGUUCUUCCAUGAUAGUUUGUAUAUUCCAGAAGGGUUCACUUUCAGGGUUAGGGUCUGUAUCUUUGGAUUUGAUCACUUGGAAAGAAAAGAUGGUUUUAUUGGAUUUUUUGAGAUGGGAAUGGUCAAAGCUUAUGGAAAUGAUUUUGUCAUUUCUUUUAGUAAAAGUGGGCUCACCAGAUUGCAGAGAUUCCUCAGGUUCCCUUAGCUUUUCAUAAUUUGUGAUCCAGGAAUCAGGAAGAAUUUUAUUGAGCUCAUUUCUGGGAGUUUGUCUGGGUAUUUGGGUGCACAUGGUAUUUCCUUUGGUAGCAUCAAUAUUCAAGAGUAAAGCAUUUUCUCCUCCAAGAAGGAAGAGAUCCAUGGCAUGAUUUUGGACCCGCCACACCAUUUGGUGAUGAAGAGUGGCUUGGAUAGCAUCUUUGGCUUGUGGGGCUCCCUAGAUUUGGAUUUGGAUUUUUAAUGCUUUGAUUAGGUAUGGGUCAUGAAGAGACAUGUUAAAAUUUGGAAAGAUAGUUAUGAAGACAUUCCCAUCAUUCAAGGUAACUUUUGCAGUACCCAAAUUUGCAUGUUGGUACUCAUAGUAUCUUGUAUCUAUAAGAGAGAGUCGAGCAACAAUGGGUUGACCUUUUCUUCCCUGAUAUGUUAAAGCAAUUCGGAUAGCACCAAAAUGGAUAUGGGUAAAUCCAUGAUUUCUCCAUUAUCUAUAAAAAUCAUCUGAGAUUUGAAGGGUGAUAAAUUGUUCUUCUCGAGUGGCAAGACUAGGAUGUUGGUCAAGUUUUGAGGCAGCAACAUAUUCUUUGACUCAUUUUGGUCUUUGUUAGACUAGGUAAUGAAUUUGGGUCUAUGGUGCAAAUUAUGUUUUUGCAAAAGCUGAGCAAGGGUUUAUGAGGGGUAGUUCAGUGGAGGUUACUUUCUGUUCGUCAGGUAGGAUAUCUACUUCAUAGAUGUAAUCAUAUUUUUUGGAAAAAGUUUUAUAUAGAGUAGGGGACAUAUUCAACUUUGCAAAGGAAGAGGAUGAUGGAAACAACUCAGACAUAUUUAGUAAAUUGUUCCUCUAGCCAAAAGAAUGGGCUAGCUCUGAUACCACAGUAUAAAGAAUUGAGCAAGAGACUCCAAGAAAGCAAACUAAAUCAUAGAUACGAAAGUUUCCCUACAUCACCACCCGGUAUGAUAUUGAAUAGAAAUAUCAUAGUAGGUAGAGGUGCACCCGUUCUGAGUUUCGGGCAUUCCCUCACCAUAUGACGGGUAUCACCACACUCAAAGCAGGACGCAGCUGAUGAAACUCACUCGGGCUUGGUUGACUAGACUGACCAUUGAAAGCACCCUAUGCUGAAGGUACACUAGACAGUGGCGGUGCAUAAUGAGCAACCUGAGGCCUAAGAGUAGCGCGAGUACCACUAUAAGUUGGAAGUGUUGAAUGAACUGGACGGCUCAUAUAGCCUCUACCAUGAAGGGCUAUAACUAGAGAACGAGCACCAUUAUAUCCGCCAGAAUCUCGAGGCCUCAUGGCCUCCAUAUCCUCCCUCUCCCAGCCUCGCAUACCCUCUAAUCUCCAUGCGAUAUUACCACCUGCUGGUAUGGAGUGUCUAUCUCCAACUCUCAAGCUAUGCUAAAUCUAAUACCAUAGUUGAGCCCCUCGAUAAAUCGACAAACUCGCUCUAUAAUUGUGGAAACAAAGGUAGGUGCAUGUCUGGACAACUCACUGAAUCUGACAGCAUACUCUAGCACAGUCAUAGGACCCUGGCAUAGCUGUUCAAACUUUGGGCGCCAUGCAUCUCGAAAACUCUGGGGAACAAACUCUCUCAAGAAUAUCUCUGAAAACUGAGCCCAUGUGAUUGAAGCUGCCUCGGCUGGCUUACCCUCCUCAUAAGACUACUACCACUAGUAUGCCAGUUCCGACAGCUAAAAAGUAGUGAAAGCAACCCUGCUCGUCUCCACUCUACCCAUACGGUGGAACUUCUACAAAAAACCCUAUGCAUCCUCUGUAGCUAGGCCGCUGAAAGUAGGAGGAUGUUACUUCUUGUACCUCUCAAGUCGGAGUUGCUCUCCUCAGAUAUUGCUGCCCUAACCUUAGGCUGAACUGGGACGACCGGAUGCACUAGUAUAGCCUCUAGGCCCUGAUCAAUAUGGAAUCGCUGAUCUGGGUAUGAGUUGUGGGAGUAUGAGCUUCUCCCCCAGCCUGAGAUGUGGCGGGUGCAAGUGUAAUCAACCCCACCUGAGCUAGAGUACCAAACAUGCUCAAGAAUUGUAUGAGGGUCUCCUGAAUUGCAGGGGUGGAAACAUACACCUCAAGUUCCUGCCCCACAACUGGAGCAACUGAUGGCUCCUCUGUUGCAGCUUGGGCAGGUGCUCUAGCUACUCAACGUUCCCUUCCUCGACCUCUGCUCCGCCCCCUCCCCAGCCUCUUGCAGCUCUAGUAGGGGGCGUGUGUGUCUAAUCGUUGAAUUUAGCAGUGCAUGUCCUCACCAUCUGUAAAAGGACAGAAAGACAAUGAUUCAUAAUUUCGAAGUCACUAAAUUCACACGAUAAGGAGUCAAAGAAGUGAAGUUUCCUAACAGUACCAUUGCCCCUCGUAGAUAAGUAUAGAUAUCUUAGUACCGAUCCGCGAGACUCUACUAAAUCUUGUUAUGACUCGUAACACCUAUGAACCUAGAGCUCUGAUACCAACUUGUCACGACCCCAAUCUCCCUCUGUAGGAUGUUGUAAUGGCACCUAAUCUCUAACACUAGGUAAGCCUAACAUAUAUGAAGAAUUUAACGGAAACAAUAAUAAAACUUCCAAUUUAAACCAAUAGCUAUCAUAGAAAGGACUCCGCAAUCCAACUGAACCUAACUCCCUAAAUCUUGUAAUACCGAGUCACAAGCUUUACACGAGUAUACUUAACAUCCCAUAAUUUAUGAAAAGGAGAACGAAAUAGAAACUAGAUAGAGGGUGACUCCGAGACCUGCAAAUGCCGGUAGGUAUACCUUGAAGUCUAUGAUCCAAGCCCGACUCACGGAUGCCUAGGCUAGUAUGAAGUACUUGGAUCUGCACAAAAAGAUGUGCAGAAGUGUAGUAUGAGUACGCCACAAUGGUACCCAGUAAGUAUCAAGCCUAACCUCGAUAGAGUUAUGAUGAGGUCAGGUCAAGAAACCUACUGGAAUAAAUAAACAAAAUGAACAAGUAUAGUGUAGUAUGAUAAUGAAAACAAGGAAAUGAUAUAAGGAAGAAAUAUAACAAGAAUACCUACACUGAGACUAAGGUAAUUAAGACAUCAUGGAAGAAACACAUAAUAAGAAUGCCAAGGAACUGAUGCAAAUAAAACACAAGUGAUAUAACUGAAAGGUAUCAACCAGAAUCACUACUGAGGUACCGCCUCGUAGUCUCAUUUCACAAUUCAAAUUACAAUCUUUCCUUAUACACUACGGGAGCCUUGAAUUUUCCCGAAAUAGCUACCCGCGUCUUAGCCCACCUUAUCACACCGCGUGGAUUCAAGUAAUUCCCCUACUAGCAACACGCAUAUCAAGCUCACCUUAUCUCACUGCAUACAUUUUAACCCCAAUCCAUAUACCAACGCAUGCAUAUUCAUAUCACAACACAUCACAAAUCGCGCCUCAAAUGCUCAAUACUACAACUUUCUAAAGAAGUCAACAAUAAUAGUAUUUUCACAAUAAAUAGCCCAUGGCUAAACCACAAUAUGUACAAGAGUCUUAACAAUAGCAACCAAAAAUGAAUAACUCAACAAGAAUGGUAUUUCAACAAAUUUACAAUUUUGCCUCAAUGUGAAUCACGACCUUUAUAACUUCAACACCAUAAUUCAACAAUAAGAUCUUCCAAGAAAUAACAAAUUCAAGUAAAGGAACUAUGUCAAGUAAAUCACGUAAGGAUAGGUUAACGAUUAUGAAGAUAACAUGUUAUGACAAUUUAAUUAAAGGCAUGAAAGAAUCUACGUAGCUCAAGCCGGUGAAUUACCACAUUUAGCCUGUGUACCCACUCGUCACCUUGCGUACACAGUUUUCAUAUACCACAAUUAACACAAAACAACACCAAUCCUAAGGGGUAAUUCCCCACACAAAGUUAGGCAAUGCACUUACUUAAAAACACGCUAACUCAAUCCACUACUAAGCCUUUUCCACGAUUAUCCAACUCCGAACGACUCGAAUCUAGCCAAAAUAGCAUUAUGCCAUAAACACAAACCAUAAAAAAUUAUUCCGAAUAAUAAAGGUGCAAUCUUUAAAGAAUAUCAAAAAUUCAACUUAAAAAGUCAACCCCGUACUUGCAUCUCGGAACCCGGCCAAACGUAUGAAAUCCCAACACUCAUUCGAUAAUGAGUCCAACCAAACUAGAAUUAUUCAAAUAUGAACUCAAAUUGCCAAAAUUUGGUCUAUCAAGUUUCAAAAAAAUUUCCCAAAUUUUCCAACUCAAAACACUAAUUAAAUUACAAAAACACGACGGAUUCAUGUACAAUAGCCAAAUCCGAGUUAGAAUCACUUACCCCGAUGAAUUCAUUGAAAAUCCCUCUAAAAAUCCCCAAAAACCGAGCUCUCUAGGGAAAAAAGAUGAAGAAUGAAACAAAACCCUUGUUUUUGAAAUUUAACACUGCUACCCAGUUAUCCUAUCUCACGAUCGCAGACAAAAGACUCGCGAUAGUGGAGAACAAAUCUCCUCAGCUCAAAAAAAGACAAUAUGCUAUCGUAUGACUAUAGUCAUGAACGCGAUGGCAGGAGCUGCCAAGGUUACACGAUUGCGGACAACACCACGUGAAAGUGAAAGAACAACGCAAGCCUCAGCACCGACUCGCCUUCUUUAUAUGCGAAUACGUUCAUAUCCAUGCAGUCACGAUGCACAAGCUCCCAAACCUUCGCGAUCAAACCAUCCCAGCAGUCCCUAAGGAUUCUACGUGAUCAUAGGAGAACCUUCGCGAACGCAUAGAAGGAAACUAGAACAGAAAAACCAGCAGUCCUAGUUCAAGAGCAAAUGGUCUGAACUCAAUCCGAAACACGUUCGGGCCCUCCGGGACCCCGUCCAAACAUACCAACAAGUCCUAAAACAUGAUACAAACUCGCUCGAAGCCUCAAAUCAUAUUAAGCAAUACUAAAACCACAAAUUGUACAUCGAUUCAAGCCUAAUGAACUCAUGAAUCCCUAACUCCUAAAUUAAUGUUGAAACAUAACAAACAAACCCCAAUUGACCUCAAAUUUCGCACACAAGUCAAAAUUGACAUAACUGACCUAUUCCAACUUUUGAAUCCAAAAUCUGGACCCGAUAUCAAUAAAUUCAACUCCCGGUCAAACUUCUCAACCUUCCAAACCUUCAACUUUUCAACUUUCGCCAAUUCAAGCCAAAAAGACCUACGGACCUCCAAAUCAAUAUUCGAACAUCCUCCCACGUUCAAAAUUACCAUACGGAACUAUUGAAAUCGUCAAAACUCCUUUCUGAAGUUGUCUACACAAUAUUCAAAUUCUGGUCAACUCUUUCAACUUAAACUUUCAACUUUUGGAUUAAGUGUCUCAUUUUUCACUCUGAAACUCGCCCGAACGAAAACCAAACAUCCCGGCAAGUCACAUAACCAUAAUAGAAUAUAGAGGAGGAAAUAAAUAGGAGAAUGGGACUAAAAUACUCCAAAUGACCAGCCGAGUCAAUACAAUGUCUUUACUCUAUUUUGACAUAACAUUAAUUCUAUUUUAUUCUUAAUCGCAAGCAUUUGUUACAAUUUCAUUUGGGCUUUACAUUGAUUUUAUCUGCAUUUAAAUGUUAUGUUGGGCCUUGUCACUAAUGUUUGCCUUUCUAUUUUGCACAUGUGAUCAAAAUGGGCCUGUUGAGUUCUCAAGAACUCAGGUUCAAGUUCUAGCCUCACGUCUGAAGUCAUUGAAGUUGUUGCUACUAUUCGUUUUCCAUUGGGCCUGACAUUCUUUAGGCCCAAACCAUGAGUCCAAUUCCCUUUGUUUUAUCGCUUUUAUAUAAAUUUGUUGUUGUUUCUAUGUAUAUAUAACACUGAUAAUAUUGAGAGAAUGAUUUUCUCUUGUAUCAUUUUUUAAUUAUUUUAGAAACUUAGGCAAGUUGAAAAAUCAUAAGUAAUAUCAAAAGGAAUGGCAAUCUCUUCAAUCAGUUAAAUAACUUCAACUUAUUUAAUUAUUUCUAUUAUACAAUUUUCACUUUCAUCUCUACUAACCGUUUUUUCAUGAAUUUUUGAAGUUCAAAACAGAUUUGAAAAGUCGACAAUCAUCUUUCUUUAAAAGCCAGAAUUGGGCAGAUAAUUUCAAAGUCGAGUUAUCUACAAAACAAAUGAACACAAUUGCGAUCAAAGAACUUCAAACGAUGUUCUUCUAAACUUGGAUGCAGAAUAUGGAAGAGUUUUCAAGGUAUAUCUAAACCCAUUUCUCCAAUAACUCUUAUUUCACUACAGCUACAGAAAUAGCCAUUUUGUUUCACAAGUAAAAAGUAUUUUUAAACCUAGCCAUACUUAUAAAGUUUACAAAUAAAGCCUUAUAGUCCUACUUUCAAAAGUUCUUUCAAUCACGUAAAUAUGAACACUUUUCAAGGCUUUUACAAAUGAAAACUACACUCUCCUUUCAAAAUUGCAUACAUCAUUUUCAAGUGAUAAGUUUUAGUCAUGACAUAGAGUAAGCUACAUAUUUUUAAGCACUAACCAGUAGAAUAUAGACAUUUAAUUUCCUAAACCUAGUCUAAGUCCUAUGGUGCUACCUUAGGUAUAUUCUAGGAGGUGCGUAACACCUUCCCCUUAGAAGAACAAGAACCCUUACCCAAAUUUCACUGGUUAGCAGACCAAUAAAUAAUAAUUUAAUAAUUGAAUAGGUAUCGUAGUAUACCUAUAAAUAUUAUAUGGCGACUCUUUUUCAUCAUCAAUAGGGACACUACUAGUUCAAUCUUACUUUGACUCGUGCAAAAUAUGGUGCAACAACAAUGUCCUACUCUGGAGUGUGAUUAGAUGAGGUUUGGGCUCCCUCUCCAGCCUGAGAAGUGUCUACGACCGCAAGAAUUAUCUGUACAUGUGUUAAACCUCAAAAUAACUCAAAAUUUGGACCAUGGUUUCCUUAAGCACUAGAAUAGCAAUAAAACCUUGGGAACUUGUGUUGGACCGAUUGGAACAACCUGAUCUACCACUGGAGCUAGGUGGCUCCUCAGAAGCAUCUAUUGUACGUGCACGAGUAAUUGCGGGUGCUCCACCUCUUAGGGGUGCUGCCAUACAUACCUUGGUCUGAGAUCCAGCCCUACCUGAGCCCUGCCUCCUCUAGAUCCGGCCUAGGGUAUUGGCUUCUGCUUAACCGUUACGGAUGCAUGUGGCCUCACCUUCUAUAAGAGAAUAGAAGAGUAAGGUUCAAACACUAAGAUAAAACAAGGGACGCACAAUAAGGAAAGAAAGAAGGAAAUUUUCCUAAAUCCCUGUCACACCUCCUUUUUACCCGCCCGUGAGGGAUAUAAGGGAGUUUUUCCAAUUAAAGUGACAUUAAUCGAAAUGGGAUUAAUUAAUUUAUUUUUUAGAGUCGCCACUUGGAAUAGUUUAUUAUCGUGUCCCAAGUCACCGGUUUAUUAUAAAAUCCCCAGUCGAGGAAAUUUUCGACUUUAUUUAAAAGUCUGCGAACCAGAAAUUCUAAGUAAGGAAUUUUGUUAACCUGGGAGAAGGUGUUAGGCAUUUCCGAGUUCCGUGGUUCUAGCACGGUCGCUUAAACUAUUAAUAAUUGGCUUAUUAUCUGAUUUACUACACAUUUUAAACCUAUUGUGCAUUUUUAACUUUAUAACCGCCUUUUAAUUAUUUUAUGGAAUUAUUCUGGAACAAGUUACGAUUGUUGUACACUUGUUUGUGUGAUACACAUUGCGAAUUAUGUCACGGGAACCGUACCCACGAUCUACAAUAUGUCUAAUUUAUUAAAGUUAUUAGAAGGUGUGGCCAGGUCACAUAAAUGUACCUCCGGAUUUGGAAAUUAGGUAUCACAGCUAAGUCAUGGGAACCAUACCCGUAGCUAUGAUGAUUUUAUUAUAAACGCGCCUAAAGCAAACUACGAGUGUUUAAAAAGGUGUCUUUCCAUACUAAGUUAAUAUUAAUGUGAGGGCCAUAGGUUAUGGCUUUUAUUUGUGUAUGGCACACCGCAAUUUAUUUUUGAAAGAAAAGAUUUGUAUUUUUGUAAGGCAAACUAAAGAUGCUCCUACUUUAAUCUAAUUUAAAAUUAGGUAUCACAACCACGUCACAGGAAUUGUGCCCGUAGUUGUAUUAAUUUAAUUGCGUGCAUAAAGCAAACUACAGUGUUUCAAAUUUGUGAUUCAUAGCCAAUUUGGGAUUGUUGUGAAUGCUCUGACUUAUGGACUUGACUUAUUUGGGAAGAAAAACAUACUAAUACUACGGAGAAAAGACAAAUCUAGGAUGCAUUACUGCAUGGAGUAUGAAUUUUUCAACACAUUUUGAAAGGAAGAAAAAAAAGCCAUGUUAAUUAGUUAGGUUUGUUCGUGUUCCACUUGAUUUCCACAUCAAUUUUAUUUUUUAUUUUUUUAUUUUUACAACAAAAAAGUUCAAAGAACUUUGCCACACAUGCCUAAGAUAAAUAUAUUUAAUUAACAAUGCUACAAAAUAUAUAUUAUAACAUGAAGCAACAUUUCAAAUGGUAAUCACCAAAUAUACAAGUAUUUAGACGUCUCUGUGAGUGAAGAAAGCACAUGUUCCUUUUAAUUCAGAUGCCAAAAAAAAAAACGAACAUCUCGAGGUAUCCUGGGAACAGAAAUUGGAAUAACUGACAUGAACAGAUCUUUUCAACAUAUAUACUGGGACAGCCUCAAGCAGCAAAGUUAAAAUCAAGUAGGCUCCUUAUUCAUAUGUAAACUCAAAGCAAUUAAAUACUAAUAUUCCCACCAAUCAAAUAUCAAAUCAGUGAUCAUAGAGUCAUAUCGAACUAUAAUCCGACAUGUCCAAACCAAGCAGAUUCAUAAAUUUAUAUGCUUGUCCAAAGUGAAGCAACAGAUUUAACAAAAUGACAUGGAAAAACUGGAGCCAAAUCAAAUCAGUAUUUUAUGCAUUCAAAACUAGCAACAAUCAGAAAAUUAGAAGUGUACCUACCUUGUAUUUUAAAAGAAACGAAGGAAAAGCGAAACGAAGCUCAACAGCAAUUUCCCGUCCACAACAAACAACAAUCGCAGCAAGACAACUCCAAUUAGAGCUUCGAUAACUUGGAUCCUAAAUAAGAUACGGGCAUCGAGAGAAGAGUUCCAAUCAAGGGCAGCCACAAUAGCUCGAGCUACAUCGCUUGCUAUACCAUUUUCCUCUAUCUUUUUUAGCUGUUAAUUAAUGCUUCAAUAGAUUCUUGAAGUUGUACAUUAUUCACCUUUGAAAAGGGUUUUAAAAGGAAGAAAGAAAAAAUUGGAAAGAGGGUUUUAAGCAAAUAUGUCAGUUAUUUGCACUCUGCGAUGGUGGACAGAGUGGGGAUAGAGGAAAGGUGCUUCAUCUUUUUUGGGCUAUAAUUUGUGUGUCGUGUGGAGAAAAUGAAGAAGAAGAAAGAGAGGUCUAAUCUUUUUUGUGGAAACAACGCUGAGG